UAGGGAAUCUUCCACAAUGGACGAAAGUCUGAUGGAGCAACGCCGCGUGAGUGAAGAAGGGUUUCGGCUCGUAAAACUCUGUUGUUAAAGAAGAACAUAUCUGAGAGUAACUGUUCAGGUAUUGACGGUAUUUAACCGGAAAGCCACGGCUAACUACGUGCCAG
rnacentral:rRNA from 1 species